GAGGCUGGACUUAGUGCAGUAGAUAACAUUUUCAGUUACUAUAGACAAUUUUUGGGACACUAUGCACUCUAAAUAACAUAGCUGCCAUUGUACACGGGAGACGCUAUUCUUACGACCAAUCUGAGUUUAUUUUUUCCCUUUUCCUUAUUAUUUACUUCAAUUUUCUUUUUGUUGUAUCUAUGCUUGAUCAAAUAAGACCUCCCCAUUCACUUGAGAGUAGAGGUAUAGAAAUUGCAUAUGAA
rnacentral:misc_RNA from 1 species